UACAGAGGUCUCAAGCGUUGUUCGGAUUCAUUGGGCGUAAAGGGUGCGUAGGCGGCGCGGUAAGUCGGGUGUGAAAUCUUGGAGCUUAACUCCGAAACUGCAUUCGAUACUGCCGUGCUUGAGGACUGGAGAGGAGACUGGAAUUUACGGUGUAGCGGUGAAAUGCGUAGAUAUCGUAAGGAAGACCAGUGGCGAAGGCGGGUAUCUGGACAGUUCCUGACGCUGAGGCACGAAGGCCAGGGGAGCAAACGGG
rnacentral:rRNA from 1 species